UGCAGUCGAGCGAAUGGAUUGAGAGCUUGCUCUCAAGAAGUUAGCGGCGGACGGGUGAGUAACACGUGGGUAACCUGCCCAUAAGACUGGGAUAACUCCGGGAAACCGGGGCUAAUACCGGAUAAUAUUUUGAACUGCAUGGUUCGAAAUUGAAAGGCGGCUUCGGCUGUCACUUAUGGAUGGACCCGCGUCGCAUUAGCUAGUUGGUGAGGUAACGGCUCACCAAGGCAACGAUGCGUAGCCGACCUGAGAGGGUGAUCGGCCACACUGGGACUGAGACACGGCCCAGACUCCUACGGGAGGCAGCAGUAGGGAAUCUUCCGCAAUGGACGAAAGUCUGACGGAGCAACGCCGCGUGAGUGAUGAAGGCUUUCGGGUCGUAAAACUCUGUUGUUAGGGAAGAACAAGUGCUAGUUGAAUAAGCUGGCACCUUGACGGUACCUAACCAGAAAGCCACGGCUAACUACGUGCCAGCAGCCGCGGUAAUACGUAGGUGGCAAGCGUUAUCCGGAAUUAUUGGGCGUAAAGCGCGCGCAGGUGGUUUCUUAAGUCUGAUGUGAAAGCCCACGGCUCAACCGUGGAGGGUCAUUGGAAACUGGGAGACUUGAGUGCAGAAGAGGAAAGUGGAAUUCCAUGUGUAGCGGUGAAAUGCGUAGAGAUAUGGAGGAACACCAGUGGCGAAGGCGACUUUCUGGUCUGUAACUGACACUGAGGCGCGAAAGCGUGGGGAGC
rnacentral:rRNA from 1 species